UUUGAAUCAUCACGAAGCCAAUUUAAUCUCAAUCAAAAUUAACUUCUAGACGAUUCGAAU
rnacentral:pre_miRNA from 14 species